rnacentral:rRNA from 1 species
GAUGAACGCUGGCGGCGUGCCUAAUACAUGCAAGUCGAGCGAACGGACGAGAAGCUUGCUUCUCUGAUGUUAGCGGCGGACGGGUGAGUAACACGUGGAUAACCUACCUAUAAGACUGGGAUAACUUCGGGAAACCGGAGCUAAUACCGGAUAAUAUUUUGAACCGCAUGGUUCAAAAGUGAAAGACGGUCUUGCUGUCACUUAUAGAUGGAUCCGCGCUGCAUUAGCUAGUUGGUAAGGUAACGGCUUACCAAGGCAACGAUGCAUAGCCGACCUGAGAGGGUGAUCGGCCACACUGGAACUGAGACACGGUCCAGACUCCUACGGGAGGCAGCAGAAGGGAAUCUUCCGCAAUGGGCGAAAGCCUGACGGAGAAACGCCGCGUGAGUGAUGAAGGUCUUCGGAUCGUAAAACUCUGUUAUUAGGGAAGAACAUAUGUGUAAGUAACUGUGCACAUCUUGACGGUACCUAAUCAGAAAGCCACGGCUAACUACGUG